ensembl:lncRNA
UAAAAAGUCAAAUAAAUACAAAUAUACAAAAAUGCACAUUUAAAGGAGGACAAGAAGACAAGCAACUGGAAGAGCUUUUGAAGCAGGAAAACUUUUGUGGAUUUCUCUGAAUUUAACUGGAAAUUUUGCUAAUAUGAGUCAGGGAGGAAACAAGGAGGGAGCUGGUUGGAUUAUAUCUGAGGACAGGACGCAUGAAGGAGAAGCAUGAGGAGAGAGAAAACAGCAGAGCGAUGGUGCAGAGCUAACCGUGGAUCAAGUCGAAGAAGCAAGCAUCAAAACUGGGAUGCUCCUCCACCUUCCUGUCCUUCAGUCACUUGUCAACAAUCAGCUGAUUACUCGCCUGUCCCUCACGAGGUCUUCAUGCUGGCUUCUAAACAACCAGAUCAUUGCAUUACCAAGACGUUUCAGCGCUACGGAUCUCCACAACCUUCUGUGACAGUGUCUGAGUGUGCCUUCAGACAACCUUCACUACCUCUGCCCCGUCUCCUGGAGCCCACAGUGUUUAUCCUGUAUUCAUAACUAUCUGCAAAUAAAC